GGGGAAUAUUGCGCAAUGGGGGGAACCCUGACGCAGCAACGCCGCGUGAGUGAAGAAGGCCUUCGGGUCGUAAAGCUCUGUCUUCGCUGACGAUAAUGACGGUAAGCGAGGAGGAAGCCACGGCUAACUACGUGCCAGCAGCCGCGGUAAUACGUAGGUGGCGAGCGUUGUCCGGAAUUACUGGGCGUAAAGGGUGCGCAGGCGGUGUUUCAAGUCAGAUGUGAAACUCCGGGGCUUAACUCCGGAACUGCAUUUGAAACUGGAAUGCUAGAGUGCAGGAGAGGAAAGCGGAAUUCCUAGUGUAGCGGUGAAAUGCGUAGAUAUUAGGAAGAACACCAGUGGCGAAGGCGGCUUUCUGGACUGUAACUGACGCUGAGGCACGAAAGCGUGGGGAGCAAAC
rnacentral:rRNA from 1 species